ensembl:lncRNA
UCUGUGCAGGCCCUAAAUGAAGAGAAGGGUCAUUCUCGACAGUCAGUGUCUAAUGGACCUCGAGUUAUGGCAGUUGUUAUUACGUCAGUGGAGCGGCCCAUAUUUUAUGAUGACCAUGCAUAUUCCCCCGAAGACCUCCAGCUCUUUACAGAUGCGCACCUUCAAAUUGGGUUUGGAGGUUAUUUGGAUUGAGGUCGUGGGAUUGACGCUCCGUGGUUUGGAUUGAGGUCGUGGGAUUGACACUCCGUGGUUUGUAUUGAGGUCGUGGGAUUGACAUUCCUUGGUUUGGAUUGAGGUCGUGGGAUUGACACUCCUUAGCCACCUCGCCAGACAUGUUUUCUGCUCGCUUUUCUUUAGACGAAUUUGGAACGUGAACGUGUGAAAUGACUUAUACAGAGCUGCUAGUUGAGAUCACAUUGUGUUCCCUCUUGUUUCUUGAUAGAGAGAGAGUAUCGUUGUUCUAAUUCAAACUCUAGUCUGUUUAGCUCUGAGGGGAUCUCAAUGUAAAUUAGCUAAAUGGUGGCAUAGGCUGUUACUUAGGGUAUAUUGUGUAUAUUUUUAAUGGUUUUCUUUUCACUUACUGAUUUUGUCGAAGAGGUUUUACCCAUUUCCUGCCAAGAUGGAGAAAGUUCCAUCUUUAACCGUUAAGUCUAUUGAGCUCCUACAGGCUGUUAAUAGUGUUACUUUAAUAUACAUUUGUUCACGAUUCUGUUAUAGUUAGCAUAUGGCAUAUAUAGCAUACGUUCUGUAUAAUUAAAUGUUUUUUUUUGUUUAAAAGCCAAGUCCCUUUACCUGCCAUGGUGGAUAUAUCUCCAUCUUCUCCCACGCUGGCAGAUGGUUUCUUCUCCACCCUCUGUGCUCGAUACGUAGCCUGUCUGGAGGUUAAUGCAUGAUGAACUCAGGUAAUUUAGCAACUGCCAAUCAUUUGUCUCUCUAUAAGUUCUUCCUCAUAACUCCUCGGCCAAUCCAUAGUCUCAAAUUGCUUAUUGACCUGAGGCAUCGGUGGAA